GACGAACGCUGGCGGCGUGCUUAACACAUGCAAGUCGAACGGAAAGGCCUUUUCGGAGGUACUCGAGUGGCGAACGGGUGAGUAACACGUGGGUGAUCUGCCCUGCACUCUGGGAUAAGCCUGGGAAACUGGGUCUAAUACCGGAUAGGACCGCACUUUAGUGUGUGUGGUGGAAAGUUUUUUCGGUGUAGGAUGAGCCCGCGGCCUAUCAGCUUGUUGGUGGGGUAACGGCCUACCAAGGCGGCGACGGGUAGCCGGACUGAGAGGUUGGUCGGCCACAUUGGGACUGAGAUACGGCCCAGACUCCUACGGGAGGCAGCAGUGGGGAAUAUUGCACAAUGGGCGCAAGCCUGAUGCAGCGACGCCGCGUGGGGGAUGACGGCCUUCGGGUUGUAAACUCCUUUCGCCAGGGACGAAGCGUUUUGUGACGGUACCUGGAGAAGAAGCACCGGCUAACUACGUG
rnacentral:rRNA from 1 species